UCGGAAGAGAAGAAUAUUUUGAACACUUGGAAAUUAUCAUUGAAUCUUUAAACCAUUACAUCAUUCUGAGUGUAGUUCAAGGUCACAUUUCCAUCUAUUAUAAGCCCAAAUAUCAUCACCAUUUACAUUACCAAAAUAAACCAUUACAAAAUUCAAUUUUCACAUUGCUUUUUAUAUCAAAGAAAAUCAUUACACAAACUUUUGUUCUAAGACUAAGUCUUAGUGCUUAUACAUCUUCAUGCUUGCUUCCCAUGACAAGAUUCUAUAUUUUUCAAACCUUUUUCUCACUUUGUUCCUUACAACCAAAUCCAAGCACCUCACCAUUAGAAACCGUG